rnacentral:rRNA from 1 species
UACAGAGGGUGCGAGCGUUAAUCGGAAUUACUGGGCGUAAAGCGUGCGCAGACGGUCAUGUAAGUCGGGUGUGAAAGCCCCGGGCUCAACCUGGGAAUUGCAUUCGAGACUGUGUGGCUAGGGUGCGGAAGAGGGAAGCGGAAUUUCCGGUGUAGCGGUGAAAUGCGUAGAUAUCGGAAGGAACACCAGUGGCGAAAGCGGCUUCCUGGUCCAGCACCGACGUCAGGCACGAAAGCGUGGGGAGCAAACAGG